rnacentral:rRNA from 1 species
CAGUAGCCGCGGUAAUACGUAGGGUGCAAGCGUUAAUCGGAAUUACUGGGCGUAAAGCGUGCGCAGGCGGUUUGUUAAGACAGAUGUGAAAUCCCCGGGCUCAACCUGGGAACUGCAUUUGUGACUGGCAAGCUAGAGUGUGGCAGAGGGGGGUGGAAUUCCGCGUGUAGCAGUGAAAUGCGUAGAUAUGCGGAGGAACACCGAUGGCGAAGGCAGCCCCCUGGGCCAACACUGACGCUCAUGCACGAAAGCGUGGGGAGCAAACAGGAUUAGAUACCCGAGUAGUCCCUGUCUCUUAUAU